ensembl:miRNA MIR9852 microRNA mir-9852
CAUCUCCUUGGCUUCUUUUCUUCCAGAAACCUCCACCUCCCGCCUCCUUCCGACCACAUUAGAACCUGGGAUCGGGAUCGUGGGACCAAAUUUGCU